rnacentral:lncRNA from 1 species
UCCAAUAGCAUGAUGCAUUCCACCAUUGAUGAGAAAAUUAUAGCAAUUUUUAACAGAGAAUUUGAUGCACAAUCCCACUUCCAGAGUCUUUGAUCCUCCACAUUUACUAGACUAGUAUUUGAGAUAAAACCAUGUAUUUUCCGAAGGUCUUCAAUGGCUGCAAAACUUAGGGGAUGUCUGAAACUUUUUGACCAAUAGUUGCCAGAAAGAAAUUCAGCCACAGUGAUCCUUGGGUGCUUGGCG